rnacentral:tRNA from 2 species
GCCCGAGUGGCGGAAUGGCAGACGCGGCGGACUCAAAAUCCGCUGUCCGGAAGGGCGUGUGGGUUCGAAUCCCACCUUGGGCA